GCAAACGGAAUCAAAAGCCAUGAUCCCAAUGGUUGAGAGGUACAGUGAAUGCAAUUUUGAGAUUUGGUAGAUCGGAUGAGAGUGGAUUGCAUCGCCAGUCGCCACCUCCAUCAUCACUCAUCCUUCUCACGACCUCAAUCCCAAAUUAUUCAUUCACUCUCCUCUUCAUAUCACUAGUUUCUAUAUCUGCAAGAAAUUUAGUGAGUAACUGUGUUCCAUCAAAUAUUAUCUGAACCCAUUGGUUUUGAUCUUACUACAAGACAAUUAGAGUAAUCGAGCCAGCAAGGCAGAAUGAGUGAUAGGGUGAAGAUGAAGAGACACAAUCUCAAUGACUUGCCCAAUGAAAUUCUGCUUCAUAUAAUGUCAUAUAUGAUGAUAAAAGAUGUUGUUAAGACCAGUGUCUUGUCGAAAAGGUGGAAGAAUCUAUGGAAAUACCUCCCUGAUCUUAAAUUAAAUACCUCUGAAUUUAGCAAGCCUUGGUUUUUCACUGAAUGUGUGUCUGAUAUUGUGUCAUCUCGUAGUCAAGGCGAUUAUCCUUUACGAACUCUUGACUUCAAUCGCCAUGGUUCUUUUCAACAUAAGGUCUUCACUGGUCUCAUAACACAUGCUAUGUCUCGUAAUCUCCAGCAAUUGAAGAUAGUUGUCCCAUCCAAUAUUGGUUUGCCCUAUUCUAUCUUUUCUUGUCAUUCUUUGACCUCUAUUUACAUUUCGGUUUCGAGGUAUGAUGUCAAGAGAAGAACUAGACUCCCUAAGCAUCUCGACCUUCCAGCUUUAAAAAGUUUGCAUCUUGACUUUGUUGGGAUUCAAGCAGAUGAAAGUGGUCAUGCUGAACCCUUCUCAGCUUGUACAAAGUUAACCAAUCUGUACAUUGAUGAGUGUGUCUUAGUUUACCCUAGCUCUCUCUCCCGCGAUGUGGAAGGAAUCCUCAAUGUAAUCAAUGCUUCACUUUCCAAUUUGACUAUCAAAGAUACUUUAACUCAAAAAAACAUGAGACCUGAACCAACUUACAAAUAUGUGAUAUCCACGCCGAAACUAAUUUCUUUUACCGUAAAUGGUUCUCCUUUUCGGGCGUCUUCUGUACCUCAUGGGGUGAAGGUUGAGCUUCAGUCUUCCUCAGUGACGUAAAAUCAAUACAAUCACCUCGAGAUCUAUUCAGGUGAAAGAAGAGUGGUUUUCAUGCAAUUAUAUUAGAUGUCCUAAAACUUAUUGAGUAUUGAGUGGACCAGUCUAUCUGAUUAUUUUACUGAGAGGUCUGUUGAUCAAGCGUAUAGUACUUACUAUGCAUUUCUGUUUAUGUUCAGCAAGUGUGUUAAAUUUAAAGAAUACAGUGUUGUAUGAAUUGCAGUUGAUUCAUGUUGUUCCUGUGAAAGGAGUACGCAGAACAGCUUCAUUUUCUUUAAAAUUUGGUCUAUUAUCAGUAACCAAGACGCACCUAAGUCAACACAGGGAAUAACGAAGGAUUCAUUUAAAAACUCAAUGUAUGUUACAUAAAUCAAAUUAUAGCUUGACUAUGACUAUUUUAUGUCUGAAACUUAUUAGAAAUAGGUAUGAAAGCAAUCCAUUUUGUUAGAGGUUGUCCCAUUGCAAUGACCAUUGGAAUCAAUGGAUCAUUCCAGAUAAUUGGGCAGCUUUUAUUUUGGUAAUUUACACGAUUGGUGUGUAUUGAAAUUGUCAAACCACUUCACUUGUGAUGUUAAUGGGAAUUGGCAAUGCCAUUUGGUCCACAACUUAUUAGAUGCUUUUAUUUGACCUGUUCGACUUAUAAUGGGAGCUGAUUUCCCACUCGGUCUCAAGUUAUAAUGUGGCGUCAAAGCUGAAUGUGCAUUGUGUGAAGAAAAUCUAUGAUCGGGUGAACAUCGAUUGGUGUCCUCCUGUUGGUGUCCUCCUGUUAACGGUUUCGUCAAUUGAAUAUGGAUGGAGCGUCGAAGAAUGGGAUUGUUGGGUACGGUGGUUUAAUUUGUGACUCCGACGGUAGAUGACUUUUUGGCUUCUCCAAGAAUCUUGGAUAUUGCAAUGUGUUUAUUGCGGAACUUUAGGAAGUGGUAGACGGUUUGGCUCUUGCUUCUUCUAUUGUUGUUGCGGCCAUUCAAAGGGUGGAAGAUAUAUCUAUGAAUGCAAGGAGUCUCCUUCGUAAAAUCCAGGGUCUCUUAAAUCAAAAUUGGGAAGUUCGUGCCGUGCAUCAAUAUUGGGAGACUGAUUCUUGGGUUGAUAUUCUAGCAAACAAUGACUAUCUUCAAGAAUCUACUUUGAUGGUGUAUGAGCAACCUCCUACUGCUUUGGGACAGGUUUUACUUUGUGUUCUUUUGGGAGUUAGUCCUCCCCGACUCAUUCCUUUAUAGUUUGUUCUUAUGGGCUUAGGCUCCUUCUACUAUAAAAAAAAAAUUAAAAAUAGA